UUUUAACCCCGAUUGCAGUGAAAAUGUUUAUUGUUUUGUUCUUUCAAAACAAUAAACAUUGCAACGGAAAGCGGGAAAAUGG
rnacentral:sRNA from 1 species